UAGGCCUGAUAAUCAGUUGUGUGGCAGGGAAACCUUGGAGUAGCUCGAAGAAGGCCUGGAGAUCUUUCAGGAGACUGGAGGCACAUCAAAUGAGAAAACAGUUCAAGAAACAAAAAGAGUGUCAACUCUGAAACUGAUCAAGCCCACAGCAGCCAUCUUCCGUUUCUCAAAUUGCCACACAGCUCAGGGAGGGAGGAGAGGAAUGGAAUGCAAACUAGCCAAAACAACCUACUACAUCCUGGGAACCAAGGUUGCUUCCAACAGGUGCUGGACAGAGAAUCAUCAAGGAGAUGCAAGGACACCCAAAUUAGACAAUGUGAUCCGUGACACUAGGGAGGGAGGAAUUUCUAAUGUUUGUAUGCUGAAACUGUGGGAAAUAACUAGAGCUGGUUUUAGGAUUAUUUGUGCUGAAAUGAUGUACUCAAUAAAGCAAUUCUUUGAGGAAA